rnacentral:rRNA from 1 species
AAUGAACGUUGGCGGCGUGGAUUAGGCAUGCAAGUCGCGCGAGAAUCGUAGCAAUACGAGGACAGCGGCGUAAGGGAUAGUAACGCGUGGAUAUCUACCCAGGAAUCUGGGAUAGCCAGCCGAAAGGCUGGGUAAUACCGGAUAAUGUCUUCGGACCAAAGGUGUGAUUCCGUUCCCGGAUGAGUCCGCGUCCUAUUAGCUAGUUGGUGGGGUAAUGGCCUACCAAGGCAAUGAUGGGUAGCGGGUGUGAGAGCACGACCCGCAUCACUGGGACUGAGAUACUGCCCAGACACCUACGGGUGGCUGCAGUCGAGGAUCUUCGGCAAUGGACGCAAGUCUGACCGAGCGACGCCGCGUGCGGGAUGAAGGCCUUCGGGUUGUAAACCGCUGUCAGUGGGGAGGAAAUUUAUAAGGGUACUCUCUUAUAAUUGACCGAUCCGCAGAGGAAGUGUGGGCUAAGUUCGUG